UUAUAAAUUAUGAUGACGCUUGCUGUGGAAUAAGAAAUUUAUAUUUCAGAUGAAUUGUUGGAGGACGUAUUAACCCCAUUGCCAGGGACCCCAGUGGAGAAACAAGCAAGGUCUCCCUGUCCUUCACAAUCUUCUGGUUUUAAAAAAGCACAGAAUAGCUGCCAAUUGGAACCCGUCGGCCAAAUCAUUCCACAAAGAGAUUUUCAAACACAAGUACUGCGGACAAUUCAGAUGAUAAGACUGACUCGGCAGGAACAAGGCGACCUGCUUCUCGAAAUCUCCAGGCAGCUCUCACACUCAGAGCCCGUUGCAGCAGUACCCCCCAUGGUGCCGUGCCGAUUUAUAUCGACAAAUGCUUUGGAAGACUUCAAUGACUCCUUGAGCAGUGAUAUGGAAACACGCUUGGUUAGGGAGCUGGGACAGCUGGGUGGAACAGAAGUCAAGCAGGCUACACGGAAGGUCCUCGAGUAUCUCCUCAGUGACACUGUUGCAGCCGAGUUCAGCUGGAUCGGUCAGAAAGGCAAAAAGAAGUUCGCCCUCCUGAAGUUACCACAAG